rnacentral:lncRNA from 1 species
CCCUCCUGCGCGGCCGCGGCUGGCUCUAGGCCCCGGCCUCACAGCGCGGCGCCCCCGAACCCGGCUGCUCCCCCGAGGUCGCGGGCGCCGGCGGGAACCGCAGUAGCGGGAGACAUAGCCGGCCCAGCCGGGCACCGCUCCUUGCCCUCGCCGGAGACUGCCCAGCGCCCUGCGCCUCUCCGCCCCGGCCUGCGGCGCGCUGGGUGGCGACGAGUCGGCCUCGGCGUUGAUCAGCACCAGGUGUGUGCGAACAGUGGCCGCGGCGGGGUGGAGCCUUGGGUGCUCCAGACGGCCAGGAAGUUAAAGUCACGCCACCUGGCUGUGGAGAUCAAUGAGGCUGAAGUGCAACAGGAGCAGCAGGAAUCCCUCCUGGGAGAUCUCCAGGAUGACAUUCCCCCAGGUGACAGCCUAC